GAUGAACGCUGGCGGCGUGCCUAAUACAUGCAAGUCGAGCGAACGGACGAGAAGCUUGCUUCUCUGAUGUUAGCGGCGGACGGGUGAGUAACACGUGGAUAACCUACCUAUAAGACUGGGAUAACUUCGGGAAACCGGAGCUAAUACCGGAUAAUAUUUUGAACCGCAUGAUUCAAAAGUGAAAGACGGUCUUGCUGUCACUUAUAGAUGGAUCCGCGCUGCAUUAGCUAGUUGGUAAGGUAACGGCUUACCAAGGCAACGAUGCAUAGCCGACCUGAGAGAGUGAUAGGCGACACUGGAACUGAGACACGGUCCAGACUCCUACGGGAGGCAGCAGUAGGCAAUCUGCCGCAAUGGGCGAAAGCCUGACGGAGCAACGCCGCGUGAGUGAUGAAGGUCUUCGGAUCGUAAAACUCUGUUAUUAGGGAAGAACAUAUGUGUAAGUAACUGUGCACAUCUUGACGGUACCUAAUCAGAAAGCCACGGCUAACUACGUG
rnacentral:rRNA from 1 species